CAUCAUAUGACACAGUUGCAGCAGCCAUAAAGGAUCCACUCGUCUUGGCCAAAUUGCAGUUCUACGCAGCAAUUGCCAGGACCUUCAAUCCCUUCCUGAAAAAAUAUCAGACGGAUGAGCCUGUGCUCCCAUUCCUCCCCAAAGGACCUGACCGAGUUGAUGAUAUCUACCCAGACGCUUCAUAAAGAGAGAAGUACUACACGAUAUCACUGCCCUGCAGCUGACCAAACUGGAUGUCACAGACAAGACCAUCUGGCUCAGCCCACAAGACAUCAGCAUUGGUCUAGGUGCAGAGUCAGUCCUUAAGGUAGUGUGGUGUUUUCAAAAGAUAAUUUUACAAAUGGUUAGGGUGAACCAGGUGUCAUUGAAGACAUGUUCUAUAUUCAUGGCUAAUUUCUCUCUCUAGAGAAUCAAAGGUGCAGAGCUCAGGGUGCUCGAGUUCAAGAGAGAGUGCAUGCAGGGACUGAGUAACAUGAUCAAGAAAGUGCAGGACAAGAGCCCCCUCAAGUAUCUGACUGUUAGGCAGAUGGUGUGCCUGAAUCCGUCAGUAAUGUAUAGAGAACCAGAAAGAGGCAGGAAUCACAUGAAAGGGCUGGUUCAAAGGUUUCUCCAGGACAAACAGCUUACUGAUACUUCUUCGGGGGAUGUCAUACUGCAGCAGUUUGACAGUCUCCUUUCCUUGGAGAGCCGGAGUGAGGACUUCCUCUCCUUUCAAACCAUGCAGACGAGGCUGGACAUCUUCCUGAGCAGCGCCAUGGAGCCUUAUCCCGAGCUGUGGGCCUUCUGCAAGAAGCUGCUCAUCCUCAUCCACGGUCAAGCUACAGUUGAGCGUGGAUUCUCAAUCAAUAAAGAGGUGGAGUCUGAUAACUUGGCGGAGGAUACAGUGGUCACACGGAGACUGGUGUGUGACUACAUCAUACAACAUGGAGGUGUUACCAAGGUUCCACUCAGUAAACCGCUACUGGAAAGUGUAGCAAGGGCAAGGACAAGGUAUCGUACCCAUCUGGAGACCAAAAGAAGGAACAGGGAGGCAAAAGACCAGGCUCUCAAGAGGAGGGAAGCAGAGGACUGUCUUGAGGAGCUGAAGGUUAAGAGGAGACGUGUACAGGAGGUAUCUGAGGGUCUGGCUAGGGAUGCAGACAAGAUGGCUGAGGAGGCUGAAGCGAAGGCAGGGAGCAAGAUGGCUGGCCUGAUCACCAGGUCAAACAUUCUGCGGAGAGGCCAUAAGGAGAAGUUGGCAGAACUGGCUCUCCUUGAUAAAGAGAUCGCUGCUAAGAGUGCAGAGCUUAGGAGUUGACUGUGUGAUCAUAAUUUUAUUUAUUGUUGAGUUGAUUUUCAUUGUUUAUUGCUCAGGAGUCUGUGCUGUUGGCGUAAGUACUCACCACUAUGCUGCAAUGUUCCAUCAUUCCAUAAUGCUUUACAGUCCACAUUUUCACAUUUGUUGAAAUAAAUGAACACAUUUUGAACAAACGCUGUCGGUAGGUCUGUGAAAUAGGCCGU
rnacentral:lncRNA from 1 species